rnacentral:rRNA from 1 species
GACGAACCGUGCGAACGUUGUUCGGAUUCACUGGGCUUAAAGGGCGCGUAGGCGGGCCGUCCAGUCUGGGGUGAAAUACUUCGGCUCAACCGGAGAACAGCCUUAGAUACUGACGGUCUCGAGGGAGGUAGGGGUGCGCGGAACUUCCGGUGGAGCGGUGAAAUGCGUAGAUAUCGGAAGGAACGCCGGUGGCGAAAGCGGCGCACUGGAUCUCUUCUGACGCUGAGGCGCGAAAGCCAGGGGAGCGAACGGGAUUAG